UCGAAAACAUGGGGGGAUGGACCGAAGACGUGAAAAUAGCCUCUGGACGCGUUUUCAGCCAUGAAAACGUGUGCUAUAUGUCAGGGGAGCCCGAAAACGGCCACGCCGUCCACCGAGGAUUAAAAUGUAGGAGCUGAACCGAGCAAGUGAAAAUUGACUCCGAAUACAUGUUCGGCCAUGAAAAUGUGUGUUAUAGGUCAUGG
rnacentral:lncRNA from 1 species